rnacentral:rRNA from 1 species
AGUGAACGCUGGCGGUAGGCCUAACACAUGCAAGUCGAACGGCAGCACAGUAAUAGCUUGCUCGUACGGGUGGCGAGUGGCGGACGGGUGAGGAAUACAUCGGAAUCUACUUUUUCGUGGGGGAUAACGUAGGGAAACUUACGCUAAUACCGCAUACGACCUACGGGUGAAAGCAGGGGAUCUUCGGACCUUGCGCGAUUGAAUGAGCCGAUGUCGGAUUAGCUAGUUGGCGGGGUAAAGGCCCACCAAGGCGACGAUCCGUAGCUGGUAUGAGAGGAUGAUCAGCCACACUGGAACUGAGACACGGUCCAGACUCCUACGGGAGGACGCAGUGGGGAAUAUUGGACAAUGGGCGAAAGCCUGAUCCAGCCAUACCGCGUGGGUAAAGAAGGACUUCGGGUUGUAAAGCCCUUUUGUUGGGAAAGAAAAGCAGCAGGUUAAUACCCCGCUGUUCUGACGGUACCCAAAGAAUAAGCACCGGCUAACUUCGUG